rnacentral:rRNA from 1 species
UACAGAGGGGCAAGCGUUGUUCGGAAUUACUGGGCGUAAAGGGUGCGUAGGCGGGUUUUUAAGUCAGAGGUGAAAUCCUGGAGCUCAACUCCAGAACUGCCUUUGAUACUGAAAGUCUUGAGUAUGGGAGAGGUGAGUGGAACUGCGAGUGUAGAGGUGAAAUUCGUAGAUAUUCGCAAGAACACCAGUGGCGAAGGCGGCUCACUGGCCCAUUACUGACGCUGAGGCACGGAAAGCGUGG